CGGUUAAGUCGCUAACGAGCGCAACCCUCGCUGUGUGUUACAAGUGUCACACGGAACUGCCGGUCAUAAACCGGAGGAAGGUGGGGAUGACGUCAAGUCAGCAUGGCCUUUAUAUCCUGGGCUACACACACGCUACAAUGGGAAGGGACAAUAGGUUGCGAAGCCGCGAGGCGGAGCCAAUCCAGCAAAACUUCCCUCAGUUCGGAUUGCAGGCUGCAACCCGCCUGCAUGAAGUUGGAGUUGCUAGUAAACGCAGGUCAGCCAUACUGCGUUGAAUACGUUCCCGGGGCUU
rnacentral:rRNA from 1 species